AAGAUGGUGGCCCGCCCGUUCCAAGUUGGUAGUGGAUCCGCUGGGGCCUGUGCGAAAGCUAGGCGUCACGGGCUAUAAUGUGGCAGGCAUUGCGUGAGGCUGGUUUCACAGAGCAGCGAAAACUGCCCGCUUCCAACGGUGGGAGGAUAACGGGCCGCUG
rnacentral:SRP_RNA from 1 species